UCAGGGUCAGCCAGUUUUUUUGGUCCAGCAUAUAGAGAGAGAGAAAUUUGAAGGACACUGCCACUGUCAGGCCAGCCUCUUGCACCGUAAGACUAAAAAAUUUCAAUGAUGGGGGGUUAUGCAACAAUGAAAUGGGCCACAAUAGCUUUUAUUGGUAAGCUAAUAUAAUCUUGGAAUCCUACAAUAUAUGUUUCGUUGCUUGCUGCUGUGUCUAUGGUGUUACUAAAUGGGAGCUGAUAUGAAUUUUUGGGUUUCUUUGAAUGCAGAUGAAAAUUUGCAUUGUUCUAUAUAUGUUAUUUUGAUAUUCUAUAUAUUUGUUUUUAUUGCAUUCCACAUGUUCAAUGAAAUCCCUUUUAGACUUAAUUAGUGAUGAUUGGAGUCAAUUUUUGCCGCCCUCAUACCAUGAUAAAUCUAAAUGAUUUAUUCAUUUAUGAACAAUGAAUUUGAACUAAAAAUUUCGAGGAUGAAGUCUAGAAGAUAUCAACAUGGUGGAAAAAAUGAAUUAUGAAACAAAUGUGAGGCAAUUGGUAGUAUUACAUAGCAUUUACAUAUUUUUUUUUCAUGGCUAUGCAAUUGAUUGGGAGGCUCUUAAACACUACCCCAUAGCCCCACUACGAAAUACACAUCUAUAUCCUGGAAUCCAUGGGCCCUAACUUUGAUAAUGACCCAUGUAAAAUUUGGAUGACAAAGAAAAGAAUUUGAGUGAAUGGAAUUAUUGAAAUUUAAACUUUAGCACAAAAUUAGAGUAAAAGAAUGCUAUUAGUCUUAUUUUAUUGAUUCCUUCUUGAUGAGAAGCAAAUGUAGAAGCCACCGAAACAGUUUCAUUCUUGGUCUACACCAUUGAGAGAUCAGCAAAAUCUUAAGCAACUUGGAGUCAACAAGCCUACAGCUCUUGCUUUUAUGCUCUUUGCUUUCAUGUGUAAGUUUCAAGUUCUGCUUUUUUUGCUAUCUAGGUUUUUUUAGUAGAUUUGGUUUAGCUUUAGCUUAAUUGCCUGUUUGGUUUUAUUUGUAUAAUUGUUUAGGUAUGUGUUAAUGAAGAUUUUUUAUUUUAUUUUAUUCUUUAUAAGUUAUUGAGUUUAUCAAAUCUGAAAAAACACAGAGCUUAGGAAAACAAAAAGAGAAAGCUAUUUAUUCAAAAAAAUUCUCUUAGUAUUGGGUGUUCGCAUUUGGACCCACAAUAAGUAUAUUAGCCAGUCAGUUGACCAAAUGGCCAAAUCACUAACACACUAGCACUAGACUAGGUGUAGAAUAGCAAUCUGUGAAUAAUGCUACAACAUAGCAACAAAGAACCACAAUGAUCGACUAGCAGUGUGGUUUUAGAAUCAAUUCCCGUCUUAUGAACUAAUAAAUGUCUUAUGGACUUGCAUAUUAUUGCUGUCAUGAAUUUUUAUGUUACCAAAUGUGGUCUAAAUUUGCUGAAUUUUAUGAUUAGUUACAAUUGUUUUCUUAUUAGCUUGCUAUACUUUUUGCACAAAUUCUUUUAUUUAUGGAUAUGCUUAUUUACCUAUGUUGAUUUCAAGGGAGGGUGGCACUGACAAAUUGUUACUUUCUAAUUGGAAGAGUUAAGAGUUCCAAUAUGGUCAGUAUAUUUUGUUUUAGUAUGUCUAAUCUUUUUAGAAUAUUUGAAAAUGAACCAAAUGCUAAAAUCUUAAAUUGGGUUUCAUGACUUAGUUUUGGGUAUUUUGGUUGGGUUUUAGUUUUUUGGGUUAGAUUUGUAUUUUGGUUUGGGUUUCUAUAUCAAAGCCAGAAUUUUUUCCUUUCCUUCGAUUUGAAUAUGACUAAGAUUUAUGACUUAGUUUUGGGUAUUUUGGUUCGGUUUUAGGUUUUUGGGAUAGAUUUUUGUUUUGGGUUUUUGGGUUUCUGUAUCAAAGCUUUGUCUUUUUAGUUUAUAUUCUCUAUUUGUCUUUUAACGUCGUGAAUGAUUUCAGGAAUAUAGCACUAACGUAGAAGAUUAACCUCAAGUCGAACAGUGGACCUAUCAAGGUGAAUGGUGAUGUUUCAAUUCAUCUGAGUGAAAUAGAGCUGGCACUUCAGUGCAUCAUGGCUAGAAUAUGGCUAAUCUAACUAAAUUGUUUUUUGGUUAAAGAGAUCUUAGACUUAAUUUUCUGCUAUUGGGGAAUUUUGAACUUUUGGCAUUGUUAUUGAACCUGACUCUAUAUUACACAAUUGUCAUUUUUGUUUUUUUGAAGUGAUUGACAUUAACAAGCCUUUAUUAAAAAUAUUAA